UACGUAGGGGGCAAGCGUUGUCCGGAUUCAUUGGGCGUAAAGAGCUCGUAGGCGGCUUGGCAAGUCGGGUGUGAAAACUUCAGGCUCAACCUGGAGCGGCCACUCGAUACUGCCAUGGCUUGAGUCCGGUAGGGGACCACGGAAUUCCUGGUGUAGCGGUGAAAUGCGCAGAUAUCAGGAGGAACACCGGUGGCGAAGGCGGGUCUCUGGACAGUUCCUGACACUGAGGCACGAAGGCCAGGGGAGCAAACGGG
rnacentral:rRNA from 1 species